AGGUCAUUUCAAAAAGGGCCUGUGGGACCAAAAUCAGGAGCUUUUAAUGCUGUGACCUAAGACUGAAGUUCUCUGUAGGAUGUAAUAGACAUUCAAUAGUGCUAUGUUUCCUAAGGAGAUAUAAGA